ACCCUGGCGGCGAGCGGCGAACGGGUGAGUAAUACAUCGGAACGUGUCCAGUAGUGGGGGAUAACCAGUCGAAAGAUUGGCUAAUACCGCAUACGAUCUACGGAUGAAAGCGGGGGACCGCAAGGCCUCGCGCUAUUGGAGCGGCCGAUGUCGGAUUAGCUAGUUGGCGGGGUAAAAGCCCACCAAGGCGACGAUCCGUAGCUGGUCUGAGAGGACGACCAGCCACACUGGAACUGAGACACGGUCCAGACUCCUACGGGAGGCAGCAGUGGGGAAUUUUGGACAAUGGGCGCAAGCCUGAUCCAGCCAUGCCGCGUGAGUGAAGAAGGCCUUCGGGUUGUAAAGCUCUUUCGGCGGGGACGAAAUGGUUCGUGCUAACACCGCGAACUGAUGACGGUACUCGUAGAAGAAGCACCGGCUAACUACGUGCCAGCAGCCGCGGUAAUACGUAGGGUGCGGGCGUUAAUCGGAAUUACUGGGCGUAAAGCGGUGCGCAGGCGGCUCCUUAAG
rnacentral:rRNA from 1 species